rnacentral:rRNA from 1 species
UCGAGGACGAACGCUGGCGGCGUGCUUAACACAUGCAAGUCGAACGGAAAGGCCCUGCUUUGUGGGGUGCUCGAGUGGCGAACGGGUGAGUAACACGUGAGUAACCUGCCCUUGACUUUGGGAUAACUUCAGGAAACUGGGGCUAAUACCGGAUAGGAGCUCCUGCUGCAUGGUGGGGGUUGGAAAGUUUCGGCGGUUGGGGAUGGACUCGCGGCUUAUCAGCUUGUUGGUGGGGUAGUGGCUUACCAAGGCUUUGACGGGUAGCCGGCCUGAGAGGGUGACCGGCCACAUUGGGACUGAGAUACGGCCCAGACUCCUACGGGAGGCAGCAGUGGGGAAUAUUGCACAAUGGGCGGAAGCCUGAUGCAGCAACGCCGCGUGCGGGAUGACGGCCUUCGGGUUGUAAACCGCUUUCGCCUGUGACGAAGCGUGAGUGACGGUAAUGGGUAAAGAAGCACCGGCUAACUACGUGCCAGCCGCCGC